rnacentral:rRNA from 1 species
GACGAACGCUGGCGGCGUGCUUAACACAUGCAAGUCGAACGAAGAGCGAUGGAAGCUUGCUUCUAUCAAUCUUAGUGGCGAACGGGUGAGUAACGCGUAAUCAACCUGCCCUUCAGAGGGGGACAACAGUUGGAAACGACUGCUAAUACCGCAUACGAUCUAAUCUCGGCAUCGAGGAUAGAUGAAAGGUGGCCUCUACAUGUAAGCUAUCACUGAAGGAGGGGAUUGCGUCUGAUUAACUAGUUGGAGGGGUAACGGCCCACCAAGGCGAUGAUCAGUAGCCGGUCUGAGAGGCGGAACGGCCACAUUGGGACUGAGACACAGCCCAGACCCCUACGGGAGGCAGCAGUGGGGAAUCUUCCGCAAUGGACGAAAGUCUGACGGAGCAACGCCGCGUGAGUGAUGACGGCCUUCGGGUUGUAAAGCUCUGUUAAUCGGGACGAAAGGCCUUCUUGCGAAUAGUGAGAAGGAUUGACGGUACCGGAAUAGAAAGCCACGGCUAACUACGUG